UGUUUGUGUGUGUGUGUGUCUGUGUGUGUGUGUGUGUGUGUGUUCUCUAUCUUUCCUGAGGAGUAAGGAUCUUCUUUCUUCCUUUUAUGUGAAGGCAAUUACUCCAACUCUCCCUACAUUAAUGUUUGAACAGAAACAAGCCACGUUGCUUUAAGCUUUCAUUUACCUGUAAUUUGCCUAAUACUCAAAUAAUAACUGUGUCCUUGAAGUGUUUUUUUGGUGGUUUUCCUUCUGUUUUGAUUUUACAGCGCAGAGGAGGGUGUUACAGUUUCAGAGUUUUGAUUCACUGUCAAGUUCAGACCUGGGUCCAAGACCCCAAGUGCAACGGGGUAUGAAGAAUGUGUAUCCCUUCUACUUCCCAACCCACCCUCCGCUCUCGCUUUCUUGUCGAUGCUGUGACUGGGUUUCACCAUGUAACUCUGGAUGGUCUGGAACUCCAAUAUGAAGACAAGGUUGGCCUAAAACUCCCAGAGAUCUAUCUACCUGACUAUGCCUCUCGAGUGCUGGGGUUAAAGAUGUAACUACUUCCCUGGCAUUGAAGCACGUUAAGACGGCAGGGUCUACCGCAGCGCAGUAUGACCCUGAAUUUAAGAUUCUGCGUCCACCUCCCAGAUGCUGAGAUUGAAGAUUUUCCACCGCUUUAACCAACUGAGCUACAUCGCCA